UGGGCUACUGAGUUGUGGAGGGGAACUCUGUCUACAGCAUUGUAUUCAAGAAGCGGUUGCACAAAGUAGCUUCAUGUCUAUGUUCCUAACCUUGGGGAUAAAAGGAAAAAUGUUCUUUCUGGACAGCGUGAAUCAUUCUGAGAUCAAGGAUACAGUGUCUAUGAUAAAGUUUUGAGACAGGCUCUCGCUAUGUGACCCAGGCUUCAAGCAGCUUUGAGAUUACUGUGAUCCUCUUGAUUCAGCCUCCUGCAUUCUGGAAUUACAUGGAUGUUUGGAGGAAGGACUGAGCAAGUAGAGCCUGAGGCUGUUGUCCUGAAGAUACAGGUGAAAGAGAUUUUAUCAGACUCUUGUCAAGAAAAACUUAAAGAACACUUCCACCAACAUUUCUGAAGACUGAGAAUAAGAAAUGUUAAAGGAAUUCUUUCAGACAAAAGGAAUAUGAUGCCAGAUGGAAAUCUAGACCUAAACAAGCUAAUCUAGACCUAAUGAAAAACCGUGGAAAAGGCAAAAAUGUGAGUAAAUAUAAACCUUUGAAAAUAUCUGUCACGUCACUAAUAUGUCAGGAAAGGCAAAUCAAAACCACAAUGACAUUCCACUUUCCCAUCCAUUAGGGUGGCUAUUCUCAAAGCAAAAAAAGAAAAUAAUGAGUGUUGGUGAAUAUGGGAAGAAACUGGAUUUGCACUGUGGGUGGAAAUGUAAAAUGUCAGAGCCACCUUGGAAAACAAGAUGAUGGUUCCUUAAAAACUUAUACACACCUGCACUCCCAACCACUCAGGAGGCUUAGGCAGGAGGAUCACUUCAGUCCAUGAGUUUGAGACUGGCCUGGUCAACAUAGCAAAGUCAUAUCUCAAAAAAAAACAUAAAAUUACAAUAUGAUUCAGCAAUUCCACUUCUGGGGAUAUACCCCAAAAUAUGAAAAACAGGGACUCAGGUAUUUGUUCACCAUGUUCAUAGCAGCAUGAUUCCCAGUAGCCAAAAGGUAGAAAUGAUACAAAUUUCCACAAAGUAUGGUAUUUACAUAUAAUGGAGUAUUAUUCAGUCUUUAAAAAGGAACAUAAUUCUGACACAUCUACAACAUAUUACAACAUUGAUGAACCUUAAAAGCAUUAUGCUACAUGAAAUAAAAGACAUGAAAGGACAAAUAUUGCAUGAUUCCACUUACAUGAAGUACUUACACAGUCAUAGAGACAACAAACAGAAUGAUGGUUGCUCAGGGUUUGAGGGAAGAGAAAAUGGGAAUUUAUUUUUUUAAAUGUACAGAUUUUUAGUUUUGAAAGAUGAAAAGUUUUGGAGAUAUAUGAUGAUGUAUGUUGCACAAUAGUGUGAAUGAACUUGAUGCUGUACACUUAAAAAUAAACUGGUAAGUUUUGGGGGAUGUUUAUUCCUAUUUAUUUACUUAUCCAAUGACAGAAUCAGCAAUAGGUAAUGGGAGAGUAACCUCAUGUUUAAAAUUCAUUUAACAUUUUGAAAAGCUCAAGACUUUGUUUGAAAGUGCCUCAUUCUUUUAAAUACUUCACGCCAAUGAAAUAGCAGACAAAAAAAUUGUAUUCUCUUGCUUUACUCUUUUUCUUCUUUUUAUUAGUGAUACUGGGGUUUGAACGCAGGGCCUCAAGCACUCUACAACUUGAACCAUGCCUCCUGUCCUAGUAUCUUACUUUUCUUCACGGUCAUAUUGGUAUAUUGUAUAUGUAUG